AGUGAUUGAUGCGUCUAAUACUCUGAUUUGGUCAGAGUCUCUUAAGUUUGUUGAGGGAUUCAUAUCUAAGUUGAUUCCCUGAACAAUUUUGAGAAACUGUGAGCCAAAUCACAAUAUCAUGCAUACAUCACU
rnacentral:pre_miRNA from 1 species